CUCUUCAUUAUCUAUUCACUAACUAUAGACAAUGUUUCCCUCAUGUAAUUAAAGAGUUAUAAAACCAGAGAAAUGCAUCUUGGCGUUUCUUACAUGCCCAUCACAGUUAAGAGUACAUAGGGGUUUGCUUUUAAUUACAUUGCCAUUUCAGCAUUUUGUAUCAAAUUUCCACCUAAUUACAGAUCCAUAUAAAAUCCUUAAAAAAAGAAGUUAUGUUUUAACAAAGUAAGGAAUCUCCAAAGGUGAUAUGUAGCCAUUUAAAUUAAUUGAAGAACUUGUAGCCCUCUUGCCAACUAACGGUCCUAACAUCCCAUCAGGGCCAAGCAGUGCAGUUUAACAGUUCCCAACCAGCCACCUCCAUAAGUAACUCAAGCAUAACACAGAAAUUAAUUAUAAUUUUGCACUGACUGCAUCCUGAAUGAAACAGAUUAUCCUGCAACACUUUAACCAGAAACACCAGCAAAACGUAACAUUACCAAGCCUUUCAGGAGGUGUUUUUAGAUUUGGAAACACUUAAUUUCCCUUCCAGACCCAACAAAACAGGGAGUUGGGAACCCCAGAGGUGUUGUUGCUGCAGGAACACUGCGACAUCAGCAGGAUUUGGGGUGACACAGCCACCGCUCAGACCUUCGCUAGCACCAACACCACACAAGUGUGUCCCUUACUCAUUCUCUCCCUAACGAAGUUGCUCCACGAAGGAAUCCCAGCACAGUUCAUUAGGAGAACCUCACAAAGAAAGUCCCAACAGCACAGAGUUGCAGCUCUAACUAGGAAACUCUGAAGAAAACCAUAAAUGUUGACUUUCCUCAUCAAGAAUUAAAUUAUUGUGAAACCA